UGCUGCGCAUCGCGCAGCCGGUGGGCGCGUUCGAUACCGACGAGUUGCACCUGCUGGUGCGCGACAUGUUCGAGACCAUGCAUGCGGUGA
rnacentral:tRNA from 1 species